CGGGCAGGUGGUCUGUUAAGUCGUUUGUGAAAAUCCGGGGCUCAACCCCGCGAAAUGCAAGCGAUACUGGCAGACUAGAGAUCGGUAGAGGCUAGCGGAAUUCCUGGUGUAGCGGUGGAAUGCGUAGAUAUCAGGAAGAACACCCGUGGCGAAGGCGGCUAGCUGGGCCGAGUCUGACACUCAUCCGCGAAAGCGUGGGGAGCAAACAGGAUUAGAUACCCUGGUAGUCC
rnacentral:rRNA from 1 species